rnacentral:lncRNA from 1 species
CACCUUUCCCCCCAGGGCCUUCCCCAACAUCGCUGCUAAAGUUAACGGGAACCCCCACAGCACCCCUGUGAGCGGCCCUCCAGCUUUUCUGACCCAAGGCUGGGGCAGCACUUACCAGGCUUGGCAGCAGCCUACACAGCAAGUCCCAAGCCAGCAGAGCCAGCCACAGAACAGCCAGCCCGACUACAGCAAGGCCUGGGAAGACUAUUACAAAAAACAGGGAGCAGUAGAUGGGCAUCUGCCGCGGCUCUUCCCCGAAAUCAGUGUGAGAGAAACCUGUUUGUUACAGAGAUUUUUAGAUUUGCAAACCUUUCGAUGAAGACCUUUGUUUUGUUCUGUGAAACACUAUAUUUAGAUUAACAGAAAUUUUCUAAAAAUUAGGAAAAUUAGUUACUAAACAUUGGUAAUUUUUGUGUCAUGAUUUCUUUGUAAAUGUGUAAGCUCUGGAGCUCUUUUGGAGCAAAACCUGCAAGCUCAGGUGCCGGAACUCUCCUCAGAGCCUGACAUUUCAUCAAAUGAUGGGUUUGUCUUGUGUCUUUUUAUUUACAGUUUUGGGUGGUUUUUUUUGUUUUUUUGUUUUUUUGUUUUUUUGUUUUUUUGUUUUUUUUUGUUGGUUUUUUGUUGGGUUUGGGGGGGUUUGGUUUUUUGUUUUGUUUUGUUUUUUGUUUUUUUGUUUUUUUCUGUU